UUUUUUUAAUAAUAAUAAUAUUUAACAAAACAAACAAAAAACAAAAAAAUAAACAAACAAAAGAAACAGAAAUAAAACAAAAGUCAAGGGGUUGGUUCGGCGCCGAACUGGCCCGACCAACUACCCGAUCAGCCUCCCGACAAGCCACCAAUCACGGACGGUAGGUAUGAUUUUUCAGUUGAAAAAUGAGAUUCAAAUCUCAGAAAAUCUGAGAUUUGAAUCUCAACAAGCUCUAUAAAUAGAGCUUGCAAACCAGAAAAAAAAAAAGAAAGAAGAAGGCAGCUUCUGUAAAAAAAAAAUUCUGCAAAAACAUAAAAAAAAAAAAACAACAGUCCCCUGGAACGGGGAACCCAGCGCCAGAAAGUCACCUGAAAAAAAAAGAGAGAGAUCAGCAGAUUCAAAAAAAAAAAAAAAAAAAAAAAGAGACCGAAACUUUGAGCCCCGAUCUACGUCGAUCAGGGUUGUUUUCGGUAAAAAGGACACCGGAUCUGGAAAGAUCGCGUCGAAGAGAACUUCCAG
rnacentral:lncRNA from 1 species